rfam:Perkinsus marinus ATCC 50983 gcontig_1104296739524, whole genome shotgun sequence.
GGGUGUGUGGUGUAGAGGUAUCACGUCUGCUUCGCAUGCAGAAGGCCCCGAGUUCAAUUCUCGGCACGUCCA